UACAGAGGGGGCAAGCGUUAUUCGGAAUUAUUGGGCGUAAAGGGCGCGUAGGCGGCUUUGCAAGUGACGGGUGAAAUCCCUCGGCUUAACCGAGGAACUGCCUGUCAAACUGCAUGGCUUGAGACCGGGAGAGGUGAGUGGAAUUCCCAGUGUAGCGGUGAAAAUGCGUAGAUAUUGGGAGGAACACCAGUGGCGAAGGCGGCUCACUGGUCCGGUACUGACGCUGAUGUGCGAAAGCGUGGGGAGCAAACAGGG
rnacentral:rRNA from 1 species